AAGCCUAUUUUUCUUGACAUACCCAAAUAAAAAAACCUGCCUAUAUUUUAGAAACAAAGGGAGUAGCUUGAAUUCAUUCAUGCAUGUCUUUUAACAUCAAGUUUCAGUAGUUUGUUCUUCAACUCAUGUCCCUUUCUUUUUUUUUACGCAGCUCCUGUUUAUGAGUUGUUAAUGAUUCGUGAAUUUGCAAUCCAAACCCUUUUGGAAUAGUUGAAACAGUAACAAAGUUUGUUAGCUCCAUCAGGGAUCACUGUGCACCGCUGAAUCUUACCAUGCCACCUUUCUAAGUUUUGAUUUACAUCUUUUUAACACAUAAUUUCCAUCAAAUUUAGUUGCUUCAUUUUGUACAUUUCCAUCAAGAGGGUCUUUAACUGGGACUUACCCUGUUAAUAUGGUUUACGUUAAAAAUUUAUGUGAGUGGAAUUUUUCUUUCUUCAAGCCAUAAACAUCAUUUUGUCACUCUCAAAUUCAGAUAUAUUGUAAUCCUUGGGUUUUCAGGGAACCCGUAGGUCACAGGUAUUCGUACUUGUCUCUUAGAUAAUUAAAAUAUUUUUUGUGUUAAUAUUCAAGAGUUAACAUUUAACAUGGUUAGAUGGCUCUUCCAUAUCUUUCUCAGAUGUAGUUAUGGUGUUAACCAGCAUCACCAGUUGCUAAUUAAUUGCGGAAACUAGGAGAAAGGGGUACAAAAUGUGAGAAUAGCCGUCCAGCACUUAAAAAUACUCAUUUUAUCCUUUUAUUUAAAGAUAUAAAUCCAAGAUAUACCUAGAGUUGAGUUUGUUGUUUCCAUGGACUUUUUGAGGGAGAUGCUGGGAAAAUUGAUGCAUACGACUGAUAUUGAUAUGUAAAGAACUUUAUCAAAUUGAUUUGUUUCGUUGAUGUCUGAAAGACUAGCAAUCUGUGAGUUCUCAUAGUAUGCAGUUAUCAUCUUCAUAGGGAGAAAGAGAGAAGAGAAUGGUUUAGGCAUGGUUUCUCAAUUCUAAUUAACGUGAAGAGUUUGCACAUUGUUGUGAAAGUUCUUUGAGGCUUGAGCUGUGAUCACAUCAUUAUAUGCGGACCUUAUUAUCGCUGCACAAUUAUAUCUGGAAUCUCUGUGAGCACUCUUGGUUUAUUUUCACCACAUGUGCAUUCUGAUCCUCUAGCUUUAAGAGUUAAAUUGUUUGCACUUUCAGUUCUUUUUUCUUGCAUCCAGUUAAAUAUGUGUGGCUAACAUUUAAGGAAGUAUAUGACAUCUUGAUGAGAGUUAGAUUUAAAAUCUGCAGUUGUGGUAUUGAGAAAGUUGAAACGAAAACCAUUAGCAUUCAGAUCUCCGUCAUUGCAAGAGGAAGGUUUUCAUCCCUAUCAACUUCAAAAGUUACAGGCCAACAAAUCAUAUUUGCAAGUUAAUAUCCCAUGUACACCAAGGUGUUCUCUACUCAACGGAAGCGUUCAACCGCACAUACGGGAAACCAAAGCUCAGGCAUUUAAAUAGCGAACUACUUGCUUUUUUUUUUCAAGUGGAAUACAAAUAUUAUAUGUCUGCAGCCAUAUUAGGACUCAAUUCUAAGACACAAGUUUUCCUCCGUCAACUAUGAGAGCUUGGAAUCAAGAAUGAGCGACAACUCCUAAUAGCUUUGCAAUAUAUCGACACUGGAUUAUUUGUAUCAGUGUGGUUGGGGUUUUGAGAUGGCUCACAGAUAUCCUUGAAAACCAUAACAUCCAGUGGUGUAUUAUUCCGAAACUGACAGUCGAGAGAAUCCUUGGUAUACCCAGAAAAUUACUCUUGGCAUCUACUUCCAUCAAGUUAAUCAUUUUAUUUUGUUUUUGGCGGAGAAUCAACAUGCGAAACUGAACCAUUGGGUGA